rnacentral:rRNA from 2 species
GCAAGUCGAACGAACUCUGGUAUUGAUUGGUGCUUGCAUCAUGAUUUACAUUUGAGUGAGUGGCGAACUGGUGAGUAACACGUGGGAAACCUGCCCAGAAGCGGGGGAUAACACCUGGAAACAGAUGCUAAUACCGCAUAACAACUUGGACCGCAUGGUCCGAGUUUGAAAGAUGGCUUCGGCUAUCACUUUUGGAUGGUCCCGCGGCGUAUUAGCUAGAUGGUGGGGUAACGGCUCACCAUGGCAAUGAUACGUAGCCGACCUGAGAGGGUAAUCGGCCACAUUGGGACUGAGACACGGCCCAAACUCCUACGGGAGGCAGCAGUAGGGAAUCUUCCACAAUGGACGAAAGUCUGAUGGAGCAACGCCGCGUGAGUGAAGAAGGGUUUCGGCUCGUAAAACUCUGUUGUUAAAGAAGAACAUAUCUGAGAGUAACUGUUCAGGUAUUGACGGUAUUUAACCAGAAAGCCACGGCUAACUACGUGCCAGCAGCCGCGGUAAUACGUAGGUGGCAAGCGUUGUCCGGAUUUAUUGGGCGUAAAGCGAGCGCAGGCGGUUUUUUAAGUCUGAUGUGAAAGCCUUCGGCUCAACCGAAGAAGUGCAUCGGAAACUGGGAAACUUGAGUGCAGAAGAGGACAGUGGAACUCCAUGUGUAGCGGUGAAAUGCGUAGAUAUAUGGAAGAACACCAGUGGCGAAGGCGGCUGUCUGGUCUGUAACUGACGCUGAGGCUCGAAAGUAUGGGUAGCAAACAGGAUUAGAUACCCUGGUAGUCCAUACCGUAAACGAUGAAUGCUAAGUGUUGGAGGGUUUCCGCCCUUCAGUGCUGCAGCUAACGCAUUAAGCAUUCCGCCUGGGGAGUACGGCCGCAAGGCUGAAACUCAAAGGAAUUGACGGGGGCCCGCACAAGCGGUGGAGCAUGUGGUUUAAUUCGAAGCUACGCGAAGAACCUUACCAGGUCUUGACAUACUAUGCAAAUCUAAGAGAUUAGACGUUCCCUUCGGGGACAUGGAUACAGGUGGUGCAUGGUUGUCGUCAGCUCGUGUCGUGAGAUGUUGGGUUAAGUCCCGCAACGAGCGCAACCCUUAUUAUCAGUUGCCAGCAUUAAGUUGGGCACUCUGGUGAGACUGCCGGUGACAAACCGGAGGAAGGUGGGGAUGACGUCAAAUCAUCAUGCCCCUUAUGACCUGGGCUACACACGUGCUACAAUGGAUGGUACAACGAGUUGCGAACUCGCGAGAGUAAGCUAAUCUCUUAAAGCCAUUCUCAGUUCGGAUUGUAGGCUGCAACUCGCCUACAUGAAGUCGGAAUCGCUAGUAAUCGCGGAUCAGCAUGCCGCGGUGAAUACGUUCCCGGGCCUUGUACACACCGCCCGUCACACGCAUGAGAGUUUGUAACACCCAAAGUCGGU